rnacentral:rRNA from 1 species
CCUACGGGUGGCAGCAGUGGGGGAUAUUGCACAAUGGGGGAAACCCUGAUGCAGCGACGCCGCGUGUGGGAAGACGGUCCUCUGGAUUGUAACCACUGUCCCCAGGGACGAAAAUGACGGUACCUGGGGAGGAAGCCCCGGCUAACUACGUGCCAACAGCCGCGGUAAUUAGUAGGGAGCGAGCGUUGUCCGGAAUUACUGGGUGUAAAGGGAGCGUAGGCGGGGAUACAAGUUGGGUGUCAAAACUACCGGCUCAACUGGUAGUCGCACUCAAACCUGCAGCUCUUGAGUGAAGUAGAGGCAGGCGGAAUUCCUAGUGUAGCGGUGAAAUGCGUAGAUAUUAGGAGGAACACCAGUGGCGAAGGCGGUCUGCUGGACAGCAACUGACGCUGAGGCGCGAAAGCGUGGGGAGCAAACAGGAUUAGAUACCCGUGUAGUC